UACGAAGGGGGCUAGCGUUGCUCGGAAUCACUGGGCGUAAAGCGCGCGUAGGCGGGUUGGUAAGUCCGCUGUGAAAGCCCGGAGCUCAACUCCGGAGGGUCGGUGGAUACUGCCAGUCUUGAAGGUGCUAGGGGGAGAGUGGAAUUACCGGUGUAGCGGUGAAAUGCGUAGAUAUCGGUAGGAACACCAGUGGCGAAGGCGGUCUCCUGGGGCAUUCUUGACGCUGAGGCGCGAAAGCUGGGGGAGCGAACGGG
rnacentral:rRNA from 1 species